rnacentral:rRNA from 1 species
UACGAAGGGGGCUAGCGUUGUUCGGAUUCACUGGGCGUAAAGGGUGCGCAGACGGCCGGGUGUGUGGGGCGUGAAAGCCUGGGGCUUAACUCCAGAAUUGCGCCUCAAACUACACGGCUAGAGCAUUGGAGAGGGUAGCGGAAUUCACGGUGUAGCAGUGAAAUGCGUAGAUAUCGUGAGGAACACCAGAGGCGAAGGCGGCUACCUGGACAAUUGCUGACGCUCAGGCACGAAAGCGUGGGGAGCAAAAGGG